CACUGUACUGGGGUCCGGUUUUCAUUCUGGUAACCGAAAUUUUUUUGUUACAAUUGAAUAAUUGUACUCUCAAAUAUUACAAAAUGGUCAUUAAUUUCAAUUUCCGUCCAAAAAUUUAACGGAAAUGUUGACUGUGCAUAUUAACCCGUUAUUUUUGCUGACGUGACCCGUUAUUUGCUGGCGUGACCCGUUAUUUGCUGAUGUGGCCCGUUAUGUGUACAUAUAUGCUUUGUCAUGUGUAUUAAUAAUAAUACUAAUACUAAUAAUUUUUAAAUAAUAGUAAUAUUACUUUCAAAAUAAUAAUAGUAAUAAUAAUAAUAAUUCUUAAAAAAUAAUAAUAAUUUUUAAAUAAUAAUAUAAAUUAAUUAAUUUUAUAUAAAUACAUUUGUAAAAAUUAUUAUAAUUACAAAAUAAU
rnacentral:lncRNA from 1 species